UGCCAGCCGCCGCGGUAAUACGGAGGGUGCAAGCGUUGUUCGGAAUUACUGGGCGUAAAGCGCGUGUAGGCGGCUAGGUAAGUCGAAUGUGAAAUCCCGGGGCUCAACCCCGGAACUGCAUCCGAAACUACUUAGCUAGAGUCUCGGGGAGGAAGGCAGAAUUCCCGGUGUAGGGGUGAAAUCCGUAGAUAUCGGGAGGAAUACCAGUGGCGAAGGCGGCCUUCUGGACGAUGACUGACGCUGAGACGCGAAAGCGUGGGGAGCAAACAGGAUUAGAUA
rnacentral:rRNA from 1 species